rnacentral:tRNA from 1 species
GGGCAGGUGUCUGAGCGGUUUAAAGUGUAGACUUGGAAAGUCUAUGUGGUAUCAAGCCACCGAGGGUUCGACUCCCUCUCUGCCCG